GUCUCUGAUAGCUCAACUGGUAGAGCUUUCAGCGCGUAACUAAAUGAUCUGAGUUCGAAUCCCGGUCUAGACU
rnacentral:tRNA from 1 species